rnacentral:rRNA from 1 species
AACGAACGCUGGCGGCAUGCCUAACACAUGCAAGUCGAACGAACCCUUCGGGGUUAGUGGCGCACGGGUGCGUAACGCGUGGGAAUCUGCCCUUUGCUUCGGAAUAACUCAGGGAAACUUGUGCUAAUACCGGAUGAUGUCUUCGGACCAAAGAUUUAUCGGCAAGGGAUGAGCCCGCGUAGGAUUAGGUAGUUGGUGGGGUAAAGGCCUACCAAGCUGACGAUCCUUAGCUGGUCUGAGAGGAUGAUCAGCCACACUGGGACUGAGACACGGCCCAGACUCCUACGGGAGGCAGCAGUGGGGAAUAUUGGACAAUGGGCGCAAGCCUGAUCCAGCAAUGCCGCGUGAGUGAUGAAGGCCCUGGGGUCGUAAAGCUCUUUUACCAGGGAUGAUAAUGACAGUACCUGGAGAAUAAGCUCCGGCUAACUCCGUG